rnacentral:rRNA from 1 species
CCUACGGGAGGCAGCAGUGAGGAAUAUUGGUCAAUGGGCGAGAGCCUGAACCAGCCAAGUCGCGUGAAGGAUGACGGCCCUACGGGUUGUAAACUUCUUUUGUCAGGGAGCAAUUGGGUCCACGCGUGGGCUUAGCGAGAGUACCUGAAGAAAAAGCAUCGGCUAACUCAGUGCCAGCAGCCGCGGUAAUACGGAGGAUGCGAGCGUUAUCCGGAUUUAUGGGGUUAAAAGGUUGCGUAGGCGGAAUAUCAAGUCAGCGGUAAAAAUUCGGGGCUCAACCCAGUCGUGCCGUUGAAACUGAUGUUCUUGAGUGGGCGAGAAGUAUGCGGAAUGCGUGGUGUAGCGGUGAAAUGCAUAGAUAUCACGCAGAACUCCGAUUGCGAAGGCAGCAUACCGGCGCCCAACUGACGCUGAAGCACGAAAGCGUGGGUAUCGAACAGGAUUAGAUACCCCAGUAGUC